rnacentral:rRNA from 1 species
GAACGCUGGCGGUGCGCCUUAUGCAUGCAAGUCGAGCGAAGCUUUUCAGUAGUUUACUACAGAAAAUGACUGAGCGGCGAACGGGUGAGUAACGCGUGAGCAACCUACCUUAGUUACUGGGAUAGCCCGAGGAAACUCGGAUUAAUACCGGAUAUUCUUAUUUAAUCACAUGAUUUUUUAAGGAAAGGUCAGCCGAACUAAGAUGGGCUCGCGUUCUAUCAGCUAGUUGGUAGGGUAAUGGCCUACCAAGGCUACGACGGAUAGCUGGUCUGAGAGGACGAUCAGCCACACUGGGACUGAGACACGGCCCAGACUCCUACGGGAGGCUGCAGCAGGGAAUAUUGCGCAAUGAGCGAAAGCUUGACGCAGCGACACCGCGUGUGGGAUGACGGAUCUAGGUUUGUAAACCACUUUCAGGAGGGAAGAAAAUGACGGUACCUCCACAAGAAGCCCCGGCCAACUACGUGCCAGCAGCCGCGGUAAUACGUAGGGGGCGAGCGUUGUCCGGAUUUAUUGGGCGUAAAGAGCUCGUAGGCGGUUCAACAAGUCGGUCGUGAAAGUUCAGGGCUCAACCCUGAAAUGUCGAUCGAUACUGUUGUGACUAGGAUACGGUAGAGGUGAGUGGAAUUCCGAGUGUAGCGGUGAAAUGCGUAGAUAUUCGGAGGAACACCAAUUGCGAAGGCAGCUCACUGGGCCGCUAUCGACGCUGAGGAGCGAAAGCUAGGGGAGCAAACAGGAUUAGAUACCCUGGUAGUCCUAGCUGUAAACGAUGGAUACUAGACGUAGGAAUUGGAUUAACGAUUUCUGUGUCGUAGCUAACGCGUUAAGUAUCCCGCCUGGGGAGUACGGUCGCAAGACUAAAACUCAAAGGAAUUGACGGGACCCCGCACAAGCGGCGGAGCAUGCGGCUUAAUUCGAUGAUACCCCGU